GAUGAACGCUAGCGGCAGGCCUAACACAUGCAAGUCGAGGGAGGAGCUUUCGGGCUUCGACCGGCGUACGGGUGCGUAACGCGUAUACAAUCUGCCUUUCACAUAGGGAUAGCCCGAAGAAAUUUGGAUUAAUACCUAAUAGUAUAUAGAUGUGGCAUCACAUUUAUAUUAAAGCUGAGGCGGUGAAAGAUGAGUAUGCGUUCUAUUAGCUAGUUGGAGAGGUAACGGCUCCCCAAGGCGACGAUAGAUAGGGGUUCUGAGAGGGAUAUCCCCCACACUGGUACUGAGAUACGGACCAGACUCCUACGGGAGGCAGCAGUGAGGAAUAUUGGACAAUGGUCGGAAGACUGAUCCAGCCAUGCCGCGUGCAGGAAGACGGCCUUAUGGGUUGUAAACUGCUUUUGCAGGGGAAGAAUAAGGACUACGUGUAGUUUGAUGACGGUACUCUGCGAAUAAGCAUCGGCUAA
rnacentral:rRNA from 1 species